rnacentral:rRNA from 1 species
AGCGAACGCUGGCGGCAGGCCUAACACAUGCAAGUCGAACGAAGCCUUCGGGCUUAGUGGCGGACGGGUGAGUAACACAUGGGAACGUACCUUUUGGUUCGGAAUAACGCAGAGAAAUUUGCGCUAAUACCGAAUGAGCCCUUCGGGGGAAAGAUUUAUCGCCGAAAGAUCGGCCCGCGUUGGAUUAGGUAGUUAGUGUGGUAAAGGCGCACCAAGCCUACGAUCCAUAGCUGGUCUGAGAGGAUGAUCAGCCACACUGGGACUGAGACACGGCCCAGACUCCUACGGGAGGCAGCAGUGGGGAAUCUUGCGCAAUGGGCGAAAGCCUGACGCAGCCAUGCCGCGUGAAUGAUGAAGGUCAUAGGAUUGUAAAAUUCUUUUACCAGGGACGAUAAUGACGGUACCUGGAGAAAAAGCCCCGGCUAACUUCGUGCCAGCCGCCGCCGUAACAC